rnacentral:sRNA from 1 species
CAACCCUGUGGCGAUGGUGGCGCAAACUCCAACUAGGACUCAAAAUUUCUGGACACUUCCUAAAUGACAUUCUAGUUUUUAUUUGCAUUUCGUGUGUAGUAGUCAUAAGACCAAAAGAAUUAUAAUUAUAAACAUGUAAAUUGUAAAUUAAAACAAUUAAAAUGUGGAAAAAGGAAUAACAUGUGGAAUAAUUUUAAAAUCCAAACCAAGCGUUUGACGUUCUAGUGGGAUUUGAAAACAUCUUUGGAGUUGGACAAUAUCAUCAGCUGGGCAGAAUUUGUCUCCCUCAGAAUUUAUGGACUGAAGCCUUUAAUACGGCCACUUACAUUAGAAACAGAUGUUAGAGUGGUUAAACCCGUGGCACAUUUUCGUACAUUCGGGUGUGAUGCUGUUACCCUACAAAAACAAAGUACUGGUGGAAAGUUGAAGCUUAGAAACCAAAAUUAAAUUUUUAGGGUACCAGAGUUUGACAAAAGGUUUGCAUGGGAAUCCCAGAAGCAGACUGCGGUUGCACAGAGCUCCAUCGAAGCUCCGAAGAUAAUGCUGAUGAUGUAUUUACUAAAGUACUGAACAACCAAAGACUUUAAAGCAUUUAAACUUUUGAAUUAAA